rfam:Ophiophagus hannah scaffold494.1, whole genome shotgun sequence.
UUAAAGGUUUUUUUAAAAACCCUCUCACAGUUGGAGAAACAUCAUUG